AUCCAUCUGACGAGUCCCAAAAUAAGACGAAACGCACGUCCUAGAU
rfam:Schistosoma rodhaini strain Burundi genome assembly, scaffold: SROB_scaffold0002152